AUUUGCGUUACGAUCGAAACGUCGUGGGUUUUUUUAACUUUUAUUUAGUUUGAAAAAUUUUCAAUUUUAUUUCUAAUUUCAUUUUGCAUUCAUUUUAUUUUUUUUGUAAUUUUCUAUCUACGUGACUUUACCAAAGGAUAUAACCACCGCACUUUCUCCCUCUAACUUCUCGUCGCGACCGAUGCGCUAAAGCGGCUCACGCCCGCCCCUCAGGAAGUCGUCGCUUCUGUGGCGGCGCUGGUGGCGGCGUUGCUGUUCGUGAAAGUUUCCCCUCAGAAAAGUUUUUUUUUGCGUGUAAAUAAAAAACUAAUUUAACGAACUAAACUUAAUGGAGUUUGGUUUCGAGUAAUAACAAGUAUUUUGUUUCGAUUUUAAAAGAGUACCGCUUUUUAAAAUGUCCACUUUGUACGAGGGGAUUGCUUUAAUCCGUCAGUCGUGACAUAGUUUAAGCUGGCCCCCAUCCACCCACCGAACCGAACAAGAAUCGAUUUCAGAUGAUCACCUAAUGGGUGUCUGGCAGGCUGAGGAGCGAACUUGAGCGACCCUCCCUCCCCCCCCACCUUCCCCC